GCCCCCUCCUGGGAUACCCCCAUCCCUAACUGCCCCCUUGAGACCCCACCCCCUAUCCAACUCUCCCUGUCCCCUGAUUCCUGUCCACACCCCUGACAGGCCCCCUGGGACGCCCAUGCCUAUCCACCCCACUCUGUUCCCAGUCCCCUGACUGCCCGAACCUCUGUCCUCUGGCUGCCACCCGGGUCACCCUGCCCCUUAUCUCUCCUCCCGCCCCUGGCUCCAUUACCAUGCUGCUCAGAGCAGCAGGAGCUUGCUGCCACUCUGCCCGGCAGGAGCGGCUGACCAGAGCACUGGUGGCAUGUUGAUCUGGGGUUGGGGGCUAGCAUCUGGGGCUGGGGGCUAGCAUCCCCAGCUGGGAGCUCAGAGGCUGGGCAGGGUGGUCCUGCAGGCUGUAGUUUGCCCACCUCUGCUGUAGGAGGAGGGGGGAGUGAAGAGAGUGGCAAACCCAGAGGCGUGAGGAAGGCCAGGAAAUAUGGAAGCAGCUCAGGAAAAGGCAGCAAGGUGUGGGGAACAGACCUUGGCUGCUGUGCAAAGGGUCCCUGAGCUGGAACCUGCAGCAGAGGGUGGGCCUGGGUUCCCCUCCCAACCAUUGCAGGAGUGGCCCUGUGAGGUAGUGAAAUGGAAGAGUGCCUGAGAUGGCUGGAGAGCAGGAACCUUGCUAUCCUUUCCCUGGAUGAGGAAACCACCAUAGUGACCUGGCUGGAGGCCUGAGUCACAGAGAAGAUGCUGGAGUGCGAGGGGAGGCUGUAGAGGAGAAACUGAAAGGAGGUAACCUCUGGAAGGAGCAUCAGCCUGAUGGAGCUAAUCCCCAGAACCAUGAGGAGGUGGCACUGUCUGGUGAAUCUCUGAUGUUUUGGCUGAUAAAUGAGCACUAGAUUAGUCUACAACUGCAACUUCUUAUGCCAUGGUCCUGUCAGAUUUGACAACUAAGAAGCAUCAAGCUAGGUAAUUCAGGAGCAUGCUCGGUGUGGCUGCUGACCUCCAAUCCAAAAGGGCUCAUCCAGGAUGGGCUGGCCAGGCACCAGAAAUCUCCUGAGAACAGCCAAGAAAGUGUCCAGUUUGCAUAAAUGGUUGGAUACAAAUCUGAACCUCAGAAUUGAACAUGUUGUUUCGGUGCCUCAGAACAAUCCUCGCUCCUGCCUAGCUGGACUGGGACAAGGGAACAAGGCAUGUUAACAGCGUGGUGAUGCCGAGCUCACGCACAGAUGUGGC